rnacentral:tRNA from 12 species
GGUGCGAUAGAUCAGCCGGUUCUUUAAAAGCGAAGCUUUUGAAGGCCGAAGGAAGAGCGCAUGAUUCAUAAUCAUGAGGUCCCCAGUUCAAUCCUGGGUCGCGCUACCA